UUUUUUUUUUAUGUAAUAUAUAUGAGAUAAAAAGGUGAUUGAAUAAAAUAUUGAUAAUACAAACAAAUAAUCUACUAUACAAACAAAUUGUAUUUUCGCCCCAAGGGUAACAUGAACGGGUAGAGGUAAGAAAAAAAAAAAAAAGAAAAAUGGUUCGUGACGUGGCAAGGAGCCAAGGAUCUUUUAUAGCUCUGUGUCAUAAAUUAUACUGCUAAUGUCAACUUUCAUCCCCUUGUCGUACAAUAUUAUGGGUUUAAUUGAUAAAGCUUGCUUAAGCAAUAGGGUCCUAGAUUGAUUAAAUAACUUCUGGGGCUAUUUGUACAAUAUCUCGAGUUUUUCCCCAAUAAUUUGUUGAGCUUAAGUCACUAGUUAAUAUAUGUAUUCAGUCAAUGAUUAAAUGUACAAAAGCAUUCAAUGCCCAAAUAAGUUACGCGAUUACAAAUCAUCCAAGAGUACGUUAGUGGCUAAUUGACUAAAAAAAAUUACUAGUGAAUGGUCAUUCAAAUUUAACCGAUAAAAUAUCUCAGGUAUAUUUUUUCUACAUGGUUCCAAAUUUAGCUCUUUAUCUCUCUGUUCAUUUUUUUCUUUCUCCAUAAUUAACUUGUUUCUUCCUUAGAUACAUGAUCAAUUACAUUUUGCUUCCACAUUACUCCUAGUCCAAUAUGAAUAUUGUUGACCUUUUAUGCAUUAUUUUGGUUCCUAACAGUUAAUUAUCUUUGACUUCUUUGUUAUUCUACACUAGUUUUAAGUAGGGUGCAACACAAAAUUCGUAUAGUUUGAGGGGUGCAAAUUAUUAACUAUAACCAAUUUAAUACACAUCAAAAACUCUUUUAGGGUAUGAUGGAGAUUUUCAGAAUUUGAGGGCCCCUCCCAACAUACUUUCUACGGAACCAACUCAUCACGGCCGCUCCAAAGUGAGUGCUAUUGCUUACAAAAGCAAAGCCCAAUAGGAAAUGAAUUAGUCUUGCAAAACUGAGACCACUAGUCCAAUUCAACCUGGUGCCAUUUAUCCCACUUUUUGAGAAAGCAUAGGCCGUGCAAAAUUCGUGGAAGGGUCAGUGGCCUUUUCUACAGGUUGUUUUUGCAUCCAGAGGUUGUUCGUGAAACAUGAGGGCGAGUUUCUUUUAAAGUGGAAGGAUUUGAUACGAGACGUGCAAUCUUAAGUUCGAGUUUGACAAGCUUCCUUCAAUAAAACUACCCAAGAAAUUUUUCAAGGUUUUUAAUUAGCGUAGUUGUCAUAAUUUUCUUUAAUAUUUUUAUUUAUUUUUAGUGUUUUUCAGAUGUAUGUGUGUUAAAUUUAAACUACGGGCCUGUUUGGCAAAUAAGUUUGUCUGCUACAAAUUUUUUAACAAUUUUAACUAUAGUAAUCGCAAAAACUUUUCAAAAUUUUAAAAUUAUACACUUCAAAAUAUUUAAAAGCUUAUAUAUUUCAAAAAAAUUUUCUCCAACUUUUAUAGUAAAGUUUUAAACAAACAUUCAAAAAAUUCAUUUGCCAAAUGGGGACGUACAUUUGUCUAGAGGUUGGUGCUGUUAGAAAAAUUGCAAAAUUAUCACAACAAGAGGAACAUAGCUAGCUGUCGAGAAGGUCGACUAGCUUCUUAAGUUUGGAGCCUGGCUGAUUUAGUGUCGAAUCCUCUACGAGUUCAAACUCUCGUCGUACAUAACGACACUUUUGUUUAGCAAUUUUGUGUUCUUUAAGUAUUUUUCAUGCUUGUUCCCCAUAUUUUUUUUGGUAGCUUUCGUGUUUUGUUCUUUAAUCAUUUUUAGUAGUUUUGUGCCUGUAUACUUAGGGCUAUUGUAAUAGCUUGUUAUCAAUUUUUUUUUUUUGCAAGUAUUACACAACUUUGGUUGGUAUUUUAAUUGUUCUUGAGUGCACUGAAGUUUUUUUCUAAGAUUCUUUGUAUUUUGUUUAAACAAAAGUUUUCUCUAAGAUUCUUUGAAUUUUGUCUGUAAAAGAUGAUUGUGUAUCUCUUUCUUGGAAUUGUAUCUCUAUGAGAAAUUCCCCAUAAUUAUCACGAUAUUUGGUUUGUAAUGCUCCAUUUGCUUCUGGUGUUUCUCCUGGAUAGGUGGGAUAUAUGUAGUUUUUCGUUGUUCGAACAAGGGGGCUGCUUCUAAGAUGUUCAUGGCUAAAGCACACUGGACUAGUUUACUAAUAGAGAACUUUUCUCAAUGCGAGUUCCUUUUCUCAAGAAUUUUGGGAUAUUGUUAAGCCCUUUCACAAAUUACAUGGCAGUGCAAUAAUAACCGAAAGAGCAAAUUAUCUGGAAAGUCAUUAAACUUUUCCAAUAAUGGAGUUUUGACGACUCAACUUUUAAGAAUAUGUAUUGGCAUGUUACAAUUAAAUCUACCAAUCUAAGGGUCACACGAGUCACAAGACAACCAGAUCUGACAGGCUUAAUGGUUGAAAUAGAUGGAAUGAGGCAAAAUUUACACUUUUGAUAGUUUAAUAGGUAAAUAUAUACAUUUAAAAGUUAAGUGAGCAAAACUCCACUAUUUGAAAGGUUAAGUGGCUAGUCGGGUAAUUUGCUCUUACUAAAACAAGGAACUUUUGGACCAGAGAUGGUGAGCAGGAAUUUUUCUUGACAAAUUGUAACAUUGAUUUGAAUGGAAUGCCUCUAUCAAUUUAGUCAAAUAAGGGGCUUUACAUAAAUUAUUUGGCAGAAUUUAAAAGUACUUUUCAGACCUUAUUGCCUUAGUUUGUUAUGUCAAUCCUAUAGUUUGGCUGUCCAGCACGGGAGUGGGUUGAAAGAAAUAGAAUUUUACAGAAAAUUACCAUCUGCUGGUAACAGAUUUCAAACUUAAUUAAUUUGUCCAUGAUUUGUAGCCUUACUUCAUGUAUUUUUCUAACAAAAUAUUACAUGGAAAAUAUGUUUUUUUUUUAUGUAAUUACUAGUGGAUCAGUACAUACGUAUUUAUAACAAGUUUUCUAACCAUUCAAAUUGGAUGCUAUACGGAACCAUUUAUUUCCUUGCCUAAAAAAAAAGCAUUUUUUUUAAACAAAAAAAAAAGUGCUAUAAUAUGCCUCUCCUUAUCCACCAAUACAACUAAAGCAGUACAGUCAAAGGUCAUGCUGGAAAUGUUCAAGAAACUAAAAAUAUUAUGUGUAUAUUAUUGAUUACUUUUUGUUUUUAAUUUUUAUAUCAAAAAGGAAAAGAUUGUAGUCCGUCAAUUCCUUAGUAGAAUUUUUCUUUUUUUUUUUUUGGUCAAAGGGUAAUUAUUUACAACUACUCUUAUACUUGGAUGGAGGAGACAAAGGCUAGUGGUUGAAUUUUGUAUUACUUAUUUUACAAGUUAUGACGUAAUUACACAUCACAUCAUGGAUGACUUGAGAGCACUCAGACACAAUUGGUGCCACGUAAUUCUAGUACAUGGAGCAAAUCUCUAAUGCACGGCAUCUUUGCAUUUAGUCCAUGCUAAAGUAUAUCUAACAAAUUUUCUCGAAAUAUAUUUAAUGAGUGCUUGAGUUUUUUUUUUUUAAGGAGUAUUAAUAUCAUUUUCCUUUUUCUCUUGUCUUGUAGCGUUCAAGAGAAAAAAGCAAAAACCAAUGAUGUGUACAUCAAGUUAAAGUUUGAUCUAUAUUUUACAUGAAAUUUUGUGAAAAAAUGUACUUGGAUGCCUGUUUUUGCUUGGAACAUUCAAAUAAUACUUGAAAAUUACAUAAAAAUAUAAAAAUUAUCCACAUAUUAAUAUCUUUUUUCUCCUAUCAACCACCACCCUCCCCUUCUCUCACCACCCAUCUCCGUCCUCUCUAGACCAGAUCAGGAGGGAAGAGAGGAGGCGGGGGUGGACUUAGAGGGAUAUAGAUGUAAGCUUUAGUAGCAUCCGUAAAAAUAUUUUAAAUAAACUCUUAAACCACAACAUAAAGAUAUUAUCAGAAUGCAUUUGCAUUUUAAAUUUAUAAGUUUAAUGGUUAGAGAAGAGUUCUUAAAGCUUUCUCGCUGUCAGAAUUAGAAAUCGAAAUCGAAUUUCAUAUGCGACAACUGAGGGAAAAUAAAAAAGUUUCACAAGAACACCCAUAAAAAAAAAUCUACCCUUAACUAUAGAAAUAUUUUGCUUAAACAGACCUUGCCUUCUCGGAGGACUAUAGAAAUCAACCUUCAACCACCUCCCAUUCGACAAAAUCAUUGCACCAAGACAAAUCCCAAGAUCGCGGGACGAAAGAAGAAUGUGUGUUUCCCUUUUAUACUUCUGAUGAUGAUAUAACCACAAAGUCUAAGAUAUCAUCAGGACAUCAAAUCAACGUCUUCCACGUUAAUCUCAUCAAAAGCGGAAUUAACUGAAAAACUCUUACAUACGCAAAGUGAAUCAAAUGUCAAAAUGAAACCUGGUUAGUCCAGUUCACUACUUUUAGGGAGUAAUUUGACCAUAUUUACAUGAAUCACGCCAUUGUGGCACCGUAAUUCUUGAAUUUUAGCAUGCAUUAAGUUUGGCAAAAGUUCUAAACAAGUAAAUUUCCAGCAAAUGGUAGAUUUUACCGUUUGGCAGAUCCAAAUGAUGCUCUAAGCAUAAUGUUAUGGUCCAUAUGAGUGUAAAGCAAAAAGAAUGCAAUAGCUUAUAUUCUCUAUUAAAAAUGCCUGCCUUUAAAGGAAAAAAAAAACUUCAGAGCCUGAAAAGCUGUUUCGUUAUGCUACUUUACCAAUAAUAUUUUAUAUCAUGAUGAUUUCACCAAAUUGGGAUACCAGCACAUAAACAUUCAAGCACAAUUGUAAACACAUUUUUCAGUUUCACACAAUAGACAUACAACUGUGUUCAUGUGGGUAUUAAACACAAUUAUGUCUUCCUCAAUAUGUCACCAAAUGUAGAGCUAAAAUUUGUUACAUUCAGAGAAUAUUGAAAAAGUACUAUCAAUUGCCAAAUAGGACAAGCAGAAAGAAGUUAUAUAUAUGAAUUAAAUGCACUAUAAUACAGUCAUAUUUAGACUCUCACAAUCAUCUUUCACACUCUACUUGUCAUCACUCUUAACGGGGAUAGUAGAUUAAAGGGAAAAGGCAAAAGAUAAAGAACCUACAUAGUAGUACAAGUUAAAUAAUUGUAGACUAAUUAAUAAUAAUACUCAAGCUUGAUGCAGCAUUAAAUCCUAAUUAAG
rnacentral:lncRNA from 1 species